AGAGUUUGAUCAUGGCUCAGAACGAACGCUGGCGGCGUGGAUUAGGCAUGCAAGUCGAGCGGCAACCUCAAUAUAUAAGUAUCCUCGGAUACUUAUGUGAGGUGAGAGCGGCGCAAGGGUGAGUAACAUGUGAGUAAUUUACCCUCAAGACGGGGAUAACCAACCGAAAGGUAGGCUAAUACCCGAUAAGACCACAAGAGGGCAUCCUAUUGUGGUAAAAGAUGGCCGAGUCCUUUGGACGCUGUCGCUUGAGGAUAAGCUCGCAUCUUAUCAGCUUGUUGGUGAGGUAAAGGCUCACCAAGGCGAUGACGAGUAGCUGGUCUGAGAGGAUGGUCAGCCACACUGGGACUGAGACACUGCCCAGACUCCUACGGGAGGCUGCAGUCGAGAAUCUUUGGCAAUGGGCGAAAGCCUGACCAUGCGACGCCGCGUGAGGGAUGAAGGCCUUCGGGUUGUAAACCUCUGUCACAGGGGAGGAAAAAUAAUGAAGUUAAUAGCUUCAUUACUUGACAGUACCCUGAGAGGAAGCCACGGCUAACUCCGUGCCAGCAGCCGCGGUAAUACGGAGGUGGCAAGCGUUGUUCGGAAUUACUGGGUGUAAAGCGCAUGCAGGCGUCCUGACAAGUCAAAGGUGAAAGCCCUCGGCUUAACCGAGGAAUUGCCUUUGAAACUGUUAGGAUUGAGUUCGAGAGAGGAGAGUGGAAUUUCCGGUGUAAGGGUGAAAUCUGUAGAGAUCGGAAAGAACACCAGUGGCGAAGGCGACUCUCUGGCUCGAAACUGACGCUCAGAUGCGAAAGCUAGGGGAGCGAACAGGAUUAGAUACCCUGGUAGUCCUAGCUGUAAACGUUGGGCACUAAGUACUGGCAGUUUUUCUGUCAGCGCUGCAGUUAACACAUUAAGUGCCCCACCCUGGGGACUACGCCGGCAACGGUGAAACUCAAAGGAAUUGAUGGGGGCCCGCACAAGCGGUGGAGCAUGUGGUUUAAUUCGAUGCUACGCGAAGAACCUUACCAGGGCUUGACAUGCAGGAAGUAGGAGCCUGAAAGGGUGACGACCCGUCAAGUCGGGAACCUGCACAGGUGUUGCAUGGCUGUCGUCAGCUCGUGUCGUGAGAUGUUGGGUUAAGUCCCGCAACGAGCGCAACCCUUACCCUUAGUUGCCACCAGGUAAUGCUGAGCACUCUAAGGGGACUGCCAGUGAUAAACUGGAGGAAGGUGGGGAUGACGUCAAGUCAGUACGGCCCUUAUGUCCUGGGCGACACACGUGCUACAAUGGUUGGUACAAAGGGCAGCUAAGCCGCGAGGCCAAGCGAAUCCCUAAAAGCCAACCCAAGUUCGGAUUGAAGGCUGCAAUUCGCCUUCAUGAAGUCGGAAUCGCUAGUAAUGGCGGGUCAGCCAUACCGCCGUGAAUACGUUCCCGGGCCUUGUACACACCGCCCGUCAAGUCAACCGAGUUGGAUACACCCGAAGCCGCUGUCCUAACCCGCCUUAGGUGGGAGGGAGGCGUCGAAGGUGUGUUCAAUAAGGAGGACUAAGUCGUAACAAGGUA
rnacentral:rRNA from 1 species